GCUGAAAGAGCAGAAAGAUUAAUUGAUCGGCCUUAUAAAUGACUUUUGGUCCAUUCUUCUGGCGGGUACAAUACAAUCACAGUGACAUCAAGACAUCAUGAUUUCAAAUUAUCAAGUGAUUUUGUGCAGAAAUUUUAGUACAGUAUCGCAAAUAGCUGGCGUUCUUUAUUAGGUUAAUCAAGGUUGAUCAUUAUCUAAAAAACAUGCAUUGC
rnacentral:lncRNA from 1 species